UUUUAAAAAUACCAUGAGUUACGAAUAAUCUCUUUUUGUUUAACAAGAUCCGGAUAUUUAAGAAAAUGAAGGGUGUCAAGAUAAUUUCAAAACCUUAAAUGGAAAAGAAGAUAUCUAUAACUGAAAUUCAGUUAAGAUUACAAGAUAAUAUAACGUGUCGGAUAAAUAACUGGGGGAACAUAUUAUGAAUAUGUGUCCCAUACCUAUUGCAGUCGGACGAGUAUACUAUAUCACGUGAAGAAGUGAGAGGAAAUAAGAGAGAGAAGAUAAUACUUUAUAUAUUUUAAUAUUUUCGAAAAAAUAAGAAUCAAACUAAACUCCCUUUUUAUCGGUGGACUAAUUGACCUGAGACCACCUAAAAUAGAAACAAAAUGAAAUAUUUCUCAUUAGAAGAAAAAGGGGUAAGAGUUAUUUAGCAUUUUCAUCCAGUUUAGACACCCCUUAUACAUUGCUCCUGGGUGGGCAUAAAAUUGAUAGCCUCCAUCUAAAACGGGCAGCCUCGAUUAUGUUUUUGUUUCCCUUUCCUUCGUCGGUUUGGAUUGGAUUUCCUUUUUCAAUUGUCAAAUAACCAAAGGGCUAUAAAUUUGACCGAUUGAGAAAAAUCUUGAAUCAAUCGUCUUCAUUCAAUUUCAUGGAAAAAAUAAAACAAAAAAUCAUUCAAUUUCAGAGCAAAGAGAAAUAUGGGAGACAUGAAUAGAAUUUAUCCAAACCGUGAGAUCUUUAUGCCGCUUCCAUUAAGUAUUAGCUGCGAUGCUUGUAGGAAUCCCAUGUUGACAGGAUACAAGCGUAACGCUCGUAGAGAAGUUGUAAUGGGUGAGAGAGUUGGGGGGAUUCAGAUUUGUAAGUACUCCUUUAACUGCAGUCGAUGCUCAGCUGAAUUCACUUUGAACAUGGAUCCUCAAGCUAAAUCAUAUUAUACUGUUGAUUCUGGAGCAACCCUAAUUGAUAAAGAUGGCUGGGAUGAGCUGGUGGCAGAAGAAGAAUUGAUCGGGGGUCCAAGACGAACAGAUGAAAAUUGAUGAGGCUAUAUUUGAAUCAAGAUGUAAUUGUCACUAAGUUUGGAGUUGUUUUUGUUUCUAGGGUUAAGUGUCCCUGUCUAAUUUGAAGAUAAAAUCUGAAUCCCCUGCGUGGGUGGUUAGGUUUUUUUUCUUUUCUUUUUUUUUUAGCAGCAUGGUUCUUCUUUCUUUUCUUCUUCUUAUUAACUUAUUAUCUGCAGGAUUUGAUGUUUUUUUUUCUUUUUUUCCUUUUCAUGGAUAGUAAAUUAAGUGUUAAAUUAUGCUUAACUGUUUACUGUGACUGUUAAAUUAUCCAAUUUCCCUAUUAUGUUCUUUGGUUACUUGUCGGUAAUAUGUUCUUUCCUUCCUGUAUUAUACCAAUAGUAUAACCUUAAAAAAAUCCGAGCACAAAAAGAUAUAUAGAACAAUUAGUUCUUUUCUUCAGCACCACGAGUCCAGGUCAAGAAUGCAUUUGAUGCUGUGGAAGGUCGUGGCUUGGGUAAUAAGGGGGCACAUUUUCUCUAGAAAAGGGUGUGGGUGUGACUUUUUGUAUUGUAUUUCAGUACUCAUUAUUACAAACUUCACUGGGGGAACUGAGACGAGAAUACCAUGGUAUACCUUGCGGAGGUAUAUAGUACUUGGAAUUACUAAUGUUCCUCUACUGAACAACUGAGCUGUGAACCCGAUGGAGCAAAUGUAUGAGAGAGGCGCCAGUGUUAUGGAGAAAAAGUGUUCCUGUGAGGGCCUUCGAAUAUACUGAUAUUCGGCUCAAUCUCAUGUAUGUUGACAGUGCAGCAAUGUAACUUAUUCGUGAUCCGAAGCAGGUGCAUCCUGCCUCUUCUACCUACUCUGAGUUACUUUCAGCUUGUUAUUUUAGUAAAGGACAUUUAAGGAAUGUAAUUCAUGAUAAAUGACCUUCCUAUUGCUGUUGCCUUUGAUUUAAGUACAGGUGAUUCAUCUAAGAGAUUGUUAAUCAUAUCAACUAUUUUCGGGAAAGUUAAUUUGUUUGCUGCUCA